AGAGUGAACGCUGGCGGUAGGCCUAACACAUGCAAGUCGAACGGCAGCACAGUGGUAGCAAUACCAUGGGUGGCGAGUGGCGGACGGGUGAGGAAUACAUCGGAAUCUACCUUUUCGUGGGGGAUAACGUAGGGAAACUUACGCUAAUACCGCAUACGCCCUUCGGGGGAAAGCCGGGGAUCGCAAGACCUGGCGCGGAUAGAUGAGCCGAUGUCGGAUUAGCUAGUUGGUGAGGUAAUGGCUCACCAAGGCGACGAUCCGUAGCUGGUCU
rnacentral:rRNA from 1 species